rnacentral:rRNA from 1 species
GACGAACCGUCCUAACGUUGUUCGGAAUCACUGGGCUUAAAGGGCGCGUAGGCGGCUUGCCAAGUCAGGGGUGAGAUCCUGCAGCUUAACUGUAGAAGGGCCUUUGAUACUGGCGAGCUCGAGGGAGGUAGGGGUAUGUGGAACUUCCGGUGGAGCGGUGAAAUGCGUAGAUAUUGGGAGGAACACCAGUGGCGAAGGCGGCUCACUGGACCGGUACUGACGCUGAGGCGCGAAAGCGUGGGGAGCAAACGGG